UUGACCUCAAAUCAGGUAGGACUACCCGCUGAAUCUUAAGCAUAUCAAUAAGCGGAGGAAAAGAAACUAACAAGGAUUCCCCUAGUAACUGCGAGUGAAGCGGGAAAAGCUCAAAUUUAAAAUCUGGUGGUCUUUGGCCAUCCGAGUUGUAAUCUAGAGAAGUGUUACCCGCGUCGGACCGUGUACAAGUCUCCUGGAAUGGAGCGUCAUAGAGGGUGAGAAUCCCGUCUUUGACACGGACUACCGAGGCUUUGUGGUGCGCUCUCAACGAGUCGAGUUGUUUGGGAAUGCAGCUCAAAAUGGGUGGUAAAUUCCAUCUAAAGCUAAAUAUUGGCGAGAGACCGAUAGCGAACAAGUACCGUGAGGGAAAGAUGAAAAGAACUUUGGAAAGAGAGUUAAACAGUACGUGAAAUUGCUAAAAGGGAAACGCUUGAAGUCAGUCGCGUUGGCCGGAAAUCAGCCUUGCUUUUGCUGGGUGUACUUUCUGGUUGACGGGCCAGCAUCAGUUUUGACCGGUGGAAAAAGGUCAAGGGAAUGUGGCAUCUUCGGAUGUGUUAUAGCCCUUGGUUGUAUGCAUCGGUUGGGACUGAGGAACUCAGCACGCCGCAAGGCCGGG
rnacentral:rRNA from 1 species